rnacentral:rRNA from 1 species
CAGUAGCCGCGGUAAUACGGAGGGGGCUAGCGUUGUUCGGAAUUACUGGGCGUAAAGCGCACGUAGGCGGCUUGGUAAGUUAGAGGUGAAAGCCCGGAGCUCAACUCCGGAAUUGCCUUUAAGACUGCCGAGCUAGCAGGUGAGAGAGGUAAGUGGAAUUCCGAGUGUAGAGGUGAAAUUCGUAGAUAUUCGGAAGAACACCAGUGGCGAAGGCGGCUUACUGGCUCAUACUGGACGCUGAGGUGCGAAAGCGUGGGGAGCAAACAGGAUUAGAUACCCCCGUAGUCCCUGUCUCUUAACA